CCUACGGGGGGCUGCAGUGGGGAAUCUUCCGCAAUGGGCGCAAGCCUGACGGAGCAACGCCGCGUGAGUGAAGAAGGCCUUCGGGUUGUAAAACUCUGUCUUCAGGGAAGAAAAAAAUGACGGUACCUGAGGAGGAAGCCCCGGCUAACUACGUGCCAGCAGCCGCGGUAAAACGUAGGGGGCGAGCGUUGUCCGGAAUUACUGGGCGUAAAGGGCGCGUAGGCGGUUAUCCAAGUCAGGGGUGAAAACUCUGGGCUCAACCCAGAGCGUGCCUUUGAAACUGGGUAACUUGAGGGCAGGAGAGGGGAGUGGAAUUCCCAGUGUAGCGGUGAAAUGCGUAGAUAUUGGGAGGAACACCAGUGGCGAAGGCGGCUCUCUGGCCUAACCCUGACGCUGAGGCGCGAAAGCGUGGGGAUCAAACAGGAUUAGAUACCCCGGUAGUC
rnacentral:rRNA from 1 species